rnacentral:rRNA from 1 species
CCUACGGGCGGCAGCAGUGAGGAAUAUUGGUCAAUGGACGCAAGUCUGAACCAGCCAUGUAGCGUGCAGGAUGACUGCUCUAUGAGUUGUAAACUGCUUUUGUACGAGGAUAACUCCCGACACGUGUACCGUGUUGUAUGUACCGUACGAAUAAGGAUCGGCUAACUCCGUGCCAGUAGCCGCGGUAAUACGGAGGAUUCAAGCGUUAUCCGGAUUUAUUGGGUUUAAAGGGUGCGUAGGCGGGUCGAUAAGUUAGAUGUGAAAUCCCGGGGCUCAACUGCGGCACUGCCACUGAUACUGGCAGGCUAGAGUAUAGUUGCGGUAGGCGGAAUGUGUGGUGUAGCGGUGAAAUGCAUAGAGAUCAUACAGAACACCGAUUGCGAAGGCAGCUUACCAAACUACGACUGACGUUGAGGCACGAAAGUGUGGGUAGCAAACAGGAUUAGAUACCCGGGUAGUC